rnacentral:rRNA from 1 species
CCUACGGGUGGCAGCAGUGAGGAAUAUUGCGCAAUGGGGGCAACCCUGACGCAGCGAUGCCGCGUGAGUGAAGAAGUACUUCGGAUUGUAAAGCUCUUUCAGACGGGACGAAGAUGACGGUAGCUGCGAAAGAAGCCCCGGCAAACUACGUGCCAGCAGCCGCGGUAAUACGAAGGGGGCAAGCGUUAUACGGAUUUACUGGGCGUAAAGGGAGCGUAGACGGGUAUGCAAGCUGGAGGUGAACAGCCAGGGCUCAACCCUGGAACUGCAUUUGAGACUGUUUUGCUAGAGUGCUGGAGAGGUAAGUGGAAUUCCCAGUGUAGCGGUGAAAUGCGUAGAUAUUGGGAGGAACACCAGUGGCGAAGGCGGCUUUCUGGACAUUAACUGACGCUGAGGCUCGAAAGCAUGGGGAGCAAACAGGAUUAGAUACCCGAGUAGUC